rnacentral:lncRNA from 1 species
UGUUUGCAUUGCAAGUGACAUCUGGCUGACAGGAACUUGGAGAAAUGGGAUGCGAAGUGAAUGCUGCAGUUACCACAGCAUUAUAUUUAUCAAAAGGUUUAAGACCAUUCUCUGUCUGUGGUGAAAGGCAGGUUGGUCAAAGGUCUGAUCCUUUUGGAAGCCACGUUCUGGCACUUUCUUCUUUUGGGGUGAAGAUGAAAGUGAUUGAACGGCAUUCAACAUAAACAUCCUUUCUUUCUCAAGAAGACGUUAGUAGCACCUACAUGUACACAUAUCCUACAGGAACUGAGUGCUCCAGAUGAUGUUCAAGAUAAAGUGAAUCAAAGUACUUGCAGACAUCAUGUCGGGCUGAAAUUCUAAGGAGACACUCCCUAUGAUUCAUGGGAGAGGAAGAAGAAAUAAAAGUUAUUCCACUACUGCAUGGAGAGAGUCCUAACUGCAGUUGUGCAGCACUGCUGAUAACAGGCCAAAACAGCAUCCUGUCAGGAUACUGCUGGAGUACUUUGUUUGACUCGUCAAAACUUCAGACGGAUUCACUGCAUUGUCUGGACACUGGAGAUCCAGUUCAGUGCUGCAGUUGGCCCGUUCCUGGUCUAGCCAAACCUCCUCUCCACAUGCAUAUAGGAGACAAGAUGGGUUGUGAUGCUCUGCUGCACUUUUGUGACUGCAAAAACUUGAUUAUUCACCAGAAGUGUGUGUUUACCUGGACACAAAAGGAUUUUUAUAUAGAAGAUAGUACAGGAGGCAGAGAAUCUACAGCACAGGUAAGUCACUCAGCUGAUGAUAUUUACAAAUUUUGACAAAAAGUAUUGCAUUUAAUGUGCAAUAAACAAUUUGCAGUUCAAGAAAGCA